AUCACCUGAGAAUCUUGUUAAAAUGCAGAUCUAAUUCAUAGAUGGGGACUGGGAUUCUGCAUUUCUAACAAGCUCCCAGGUAAU
rnacentral:miRNA from 1 species